rnacentral:lncRNA from 1 species
AUGGCUGCUGCAAAGAAGGGUGGAAAGAAGAAAGGCUGUUCUGCCAUCAGCAAGGUGGUGGCCCAAGAAUACACCAUCAACAUUCAGAAAUGCAUCCAUGGAGUAGGCUUCAAGAAGUGUGUCCCUUGGGCAUUCAAAGAGAUCUGGAAAUUUGCUGUGAAGGAGGUGGGAACUCCAGAUGUGCGUGUUGAUACCAGGCUUGACAAAGCUGUCUAGGCUGAAGGAAUAAGGGUGUCCCAUACCCACCCAUGUGUGGUUAUCCAGAAAACGUGAUGAGGAUGAAGAUUCACCAAAUAAGUUCUAUACUUUGGUUACCUAUGCACCUGUUACCACUUUCAAAAAUCUACAGACAGGCA